rnacentral:rRNA from 1 species
ACGGAGGGUGCAAGCGUUGUCCGGAUUUAUUGGGUUUAAAGGGUGCGUAGGCGGCUUAUUAAGUCAGGGGUGAAAGACUAUUGCUUAACAAUGGCAGUGCCUUUGAUACUGAUAGGCUUGAGUACAGCUGAGGCAGAUGGAACGGGUGGUGUAGCGGUGAAAUGCAUAGAUACCAUCCAGAACACCGAUUGCGAAGGCAGUCUGCUAAACUGUUACUGACGCUGAGGCACGAAAGCGUGGGGAUCGAACAGGA